CUAAUGGAAUUGCGACAUACCAACCGUUUAAUGGAAUGCCGGAACUAAAAGAGGCACUUUCCAAGACAUUGCUAAUACUGCUGCUAGGCAAAAAGAGAUUAUGGUGCUUUUGAAGAUCUACUGGGGAGAUGCUCGGGAGAAGAUAUGUGAAGCAAUUGAUAAUAUUUCUCUUAGUUGCCUUGUUAUAGGGAAUUGAGGCCUCAGCAAGCUCAAGAGGUUAAUUAUUUUGAAAUUACUUUUUGAUUAUAAUUGAAAUCUACUAUUCUGCAAUGUUGAACCA